rnacentral:rRNA from 1 species
CGUACACUCCUACGGGAGGCAGCAGUGGGGAAUUUUGGACAAUGGGCGAAAGCCUGAUCCAGCCAUGCCGCGUGCAGGAUGAAGGCCUUCGGGUUGUAAACUGCUUUUGUACGGAACGAAACAGCCUUUUCUAAUAAAGAGGGCUAAUGACGGUACCGUAAGAAUAAGCACCGGCUAACUACGUGCCAGCAGCCGCGGUAAUACGUAGGGUGCAAGCGUUAAUCGGAAUUACUGGGCGUAAAGCGUGCGCAGGCGGUUAUGUAAGACAGUUGUGAAAUCCCCGGGCUCAACCUGGGAACUGCAUCUGUGACUGCAUAGCUAGAGUACGGUAGAGGGGGAUGGAAUUCCGCGUGUAGCAGUGAAAUGCGUAGAUAUGCGGAGGAACACCGAUGGCGAAGGCAAUCCCCUGGACCUGUACUGACGCUCAUGCACGAAAGCGUGGGGAGCAAACAGGAUUAGAUACCCCAGUAGUCCCA